rnacentral:rRNA from 1 species
GACGAACGCUGGCGGCGUGCUUAACACAUGCAAGUCGAACGGAAAGGCCCUUCGGGGUUCUCGAGUGGCGAACGGGUGAGUAACACGUGGGUGAUCUGCCCUUCACUUUGGGAUAAGCCUGGGAAACUGGGUCUAAUACCGAAUAGGACCACGCGCUUCAUGGUGUGUGGUGGAAAGCUUUUGCGGUGUGGGAUGGGCCCGCGGCCUAUCAGCUUGUUGGUGGGGUAAUGGCCUACCAAGGCGACGACGGGUAGCCGGCCUGAGAGGGUGACCGGCCACACUGGGACUGAGAUACGGCCCAGACUCCUACGGGAGGCAGCAGUGGGGAAUAUUGCACAAUGGGCGCAAGCCUGAUGCAGCGACGCCGCGUGAGGGAUGACGGCCUUCGGGUUGUAAACCGCUUUCAAUAGGGACGAAGCGCAAGUGACGGUACCUAUAGAAGAAGCACCGGCCAACUACGUG